rnacentral:lncRNA from 1 species
AAAAUUAUGAAAAGACUUGUAUGGACCCAUUUUCCAGGUCCACCUUUAAUGUGUCUUGCAGUGUGGACUGGAAAGUCCACCCAUGAAACUAAAUUAAUUGUCCUGACUGUAAUGGUCAGUUAUACGUAUAUAUUGAUUCUAUGGUAAACAGACUGUCUGGAAGUAUCUUUUGAGAAAAAGAGAGUGUUGAAAUAACGGAUUGUUCUGCAUCCGUAUGGAUAACAGCUAUGGACCAGAUGUGAGUAACACCAAUUAAGGGCCAGUUCUGUAUGAGGGAUCUCCUGUUCAUCUGUCUCUCUCAGCUUUGUCACUAUAUGACUGUUUGUCUUUCUAUGGCCUGUCUCCUUCCUUCCUGAAUGCAUCCCCACCAGCCCGGUGCUGUGAGCUGGGCCCUCCAUGGAGAAGAAACCUGAGUUUGCUGAUCCUAGGGUAAAUGCUGGCAUGGAGGCCAAGGGGGCAUUAUCUAUCAAGGAGACAGAGAGCCCUCUUGGGGACGAUGCCAUGCACACUCCACAUCACCUUGUUUGGCCCCAGAGAAUGGCUGGUUAGCCAAUGACGGGUAAGAUUCCUCAAGGGAGGGACAACCUAAGACAGGCACAGUCGCAGAGGGGCCAUCAGGAGAAAAUUUGGGGGCCAACAGAGGUGAGGCAAAGAACCUCACCCCCCCACUGGUGCAAAGGCCUAAUUCUGCUGCCCUUCUGAGAGAGGUCUCCUGCCCCAUGGUUGCUUUGCUCCCCACAUCCAGUUCAGAUCAGAACCCUAGUGACAGAGACCUAGUCAACAGUGACUGCCUGCUCACCACAGCAGGAGACAAAUGCAGCUACAGUAAUGGGCCAUGUCUGGAUGCUUUUCUCGUUCUUGGUACUCAUUUUUUUUCUAUGCCUUUCCUUUUCCUUUCUUUUCUCAUCAGGGUUCUCCUUUGACAAUAAAUUUAAUAGAAGAGGAGAAAAUGUUAGAAUAGCCUUCAGUUGCAACUAACAGCUACGAG